GAAAUAAUUUUUGACCAUGGUUAGUAAGUACGUAGGAAAUGAUGCAUUCAUUGAAAUGUAAAACUGGCAGUAGGCUUACGAUGGCAAUGGGCAGUGCCAGCAGUGGCUGUGGCAUCCCGGAGCAGGAGGAUGUGGUGUGGUUCUGGUGUGGCACAGGCCAGAAUGAUGAUUCUGACAUUUGGGACGCUACAGCAUGGCUAAAAGCGGAUGAUAAAGCUGUGGCUUCAUUUAACCAUGCUCUAAAGAAUGGUGACAUUUGUGAAACUUCAGAUAAACCCAAAAGCAUGCCUAAUAGAAAACCUUCUAAGAAGAAUAAAAGCCAAAAAAAGAAUACUGCAACUUUCUUGAAGUAGUGAAAAGCUGCGGACAAAUGUUCUGCCGUUUGGUCAGAAGACCGUGGUAUUUACCCAGCUACCAUUGCUUCUGUUGAUCUGAAGAGAGGAAGCUGUGUUGUGGUUUACACUGGAUGUGGAAAUAGGAGCAAAUCUGUCUGAUCUAGUUUAUUUGACCUCUGUAGCUAAUAUGGGACAGAAUGCUCAAGAGAAUAAAAACGAAAGUCAAGAUUCAGUGGAGGAAAGUGAGAACUCCAGAUCCUGGAAACAAAUCACGUAGUAUCAGGUCAAAAGCUACUCCAUGGAAUUCUUUUCUCCCUCCACCAAACCCCAUCAGGACUGGGACCAGGAAACCCAGGUCAGAUCUAAAAUUCAAUAGCCCACCACCCACACCACCCUACGUCCUAUCAUGCCGGCUGCCUCCAUUUCCUUCUGGACCACAAAUAAUCCCCCCACCACCUCUCACAUGUCUAGAUUUUUUUGAUGAUGAUAAUGCUUUAGGAAGUAUGUUAAUCUCUUGGUACAUGAGUGGCUAUCAUGCUGGCUACUAUACAGGGUUUGGAAAAUCAAAAAGAAGGAAGGUGCUCACAUUCUGAUUAAUGAGUAAAUGUGCCAUUAUUAUGAAAGUGAAUCUUACUUUUGCAAAAUUUUAUGGUUUGUGGAAAACAAAUGUUUUUGAAUAUUUUAAAAACUAAAAUGUUAAAAAGUUAAAAGUUUAACUAAAAUGUUAAAAAGUUAAAAGUAUUAAAGACAUUUUGAUGCCAAAACUAUUAGAUAAAAGGUUGAGCUACAUCCCUACUAGAAUUCUCAUGGUAUCAAAGUAUCACCUCAUCAAAAACUUUUUGGUUGGUUGUGUGGAAAAACUAUACUUUUACAAUAAAUUGUUCCUUAGGCUCUGUUGACAUUUUACAUCACUAUUAGUCAGAAAACCAGACAUGUUUUCUGAUCUGGGUUGCAGUAUGACCUACACAUAUUGCACUGUACCCUCUCUGACCUAUGAAGUGCUCUGGUCAAAAAAGUUUAACUGAAAUUUAGU